AUAUGAAAUCAGUUAUGUAAAUUGUGAAAUAUAAUCCUGAUCCUGUCUGUUCAACUACUACAGAUAUCUAAAAUUACACUUUUGGCAAUGUUGGAUAACCACACUGAUGGAAUUCAAAGAAGCUGGGAAUUUCCUGAAGAAAAGUAGCUUCAUCCGUUCAAUUAGAGCUACAUUAAAAAGCCACAUGAAGCCCAAGAUAUGGGACAUCUGAAAUUUGUCACGUCAUUUUCCCCACCACCAACGCCCGGGCACAGCCUCAUUUGUCUUGGUCUGUGAAGCUCAAGGAGGCAAGGCACUCUGGCUUCAGCUUUAAAAGUCUUAUAUGUUGAUGUGUAUCCCAUGACUUCUAAAGAUAAAGUGCUUUUUCACUGGCAUUACUCACUUGUGUCAGAGGCUUUCUGGUAAAUUCUUCAGGCCCUCACCUUGCGGGAAAAGACAUCAGUUUGCCACUUCCUAUGAAAUGGGCUGUCCGUAAUGCUGUGUUGUAAUCUGAUUCUCGGGAGGCCCUGAUGGAUGACAGUCGUGGACCAGGUUCGAUGACAGUGCCCAGAGGCGGACCCUGAAGAGAUGCUCCAAAAGUUAAGCCUUGCUUUCAUUUGGCUGUAAUGUCAGUUCAGUAGACAAGUAGUAUCUGACUCCAAAUCACCAUUUUUCAAAUUGUCUAGGUGUUUAAUCCAAAAGUGCAAAACAGUUUCUAGUCGCCUGAAGGUACGGAGUGGUUAGGCAGGAUUCUUGCACCUAAGAAACUUCUUGUCUAAUAGGUAAAACAUGAAGGAGAGCCUUGUCGUGAUUAAACCGUUCAGGAAUGUUCACUGAAUCAACCAGAGAUGGUGCUGGGGUUUGCAGAAUGAUCAUAAAGGCAAGUGAAAAGAAACCGCGCUAACAGCAUUAAUGGAGCAUCCGUCGGACCAUUUGAGGUAGAUCGGUGGUCUUCCAACUUUUUUGCAUGCUUCCUCCUUAAGAGAAUUUUUUAAGGUGGUAUAUUUCCUCUUGUUUCUGCUGCCAGUGUGGAACAGUCCAGAGAAUUUGCCACUGAGGGGUGGCUACACAAGCAGUUUGCAACGCUGAUUCAUGAGAAUCUUCGGAUGUGAAAGAAAACCAUAGUCGAUUUAUUACAGUGCAAGGAAACUCGGGUGUGUUUCUUUACACUCUGGGAUAA
rnacentral:lncRNA from 1 species